AUUAUUCUGCCUUCUCAAUAACUAUCAAAGCCUAUUCACAUUUAAUUUGGCUUUCACAGAAAUCCUACCUCUCCUUCUGGCUACAGAGUACUUACCAAGCCCAUGAAAUCGAAUGCAGAUCUUCCUAAUGUGAGAUUUACAUAAAUAUGUCAAAGUCUCAACCUCAUGCUGCCCUCCC